rnacentral:lncRNA from 1 species
UGCCUUGUGUGUCUUUGAUUCUCUUAUAAGCCAUUUUUUCUUUGCAGCAACAUCUGUUGGAAUAAAAGUGUGAGCACAUUGUUUGAAUUUUUUUCCUUCAAAGGUGUGUGUGUUGACUAUGUGAUCACAAAUUGAUAACCAACUCUCUUACAACAGGACUUUGUCACCCUCACAGUUACUGGCGCACCACCAUAAAUGAUUGCAAACGGCUUUAAUCCAAAAGAUCAAAUCUUCACAACCUUUUGACUUAGCUUUUCCAGUCAACUUUUUCUUUAGUGAUUUGCAUAAAUGCCAUACAUCAAAUUGAUGAUUUACAUUUGAAAAAUCCUUUUUC